GAUGAACGCUGGCGGCGUGCCUAAUACAUGCAAGUCGAGCGAACAGACGAGGAGCUUGCUCCUCUGACGUUAGCGGCGGACGGGUGAGUAACACGUGGAUCACCUACCUAUAUUACUUGGAUAACUUCGUAAAACCGGUUCUACUACCAGAUCACAUGUUGAACCGCAUGGUUCAACAGAUCAAGACGGCCUUCCUGACUCUUUUAGACGGUUCCGCGCCGCCUUAGCUACUUGGUAAGGUAACAGCUUACCAACGCAACGAUGCGGAGCCGACCCGAGAAGGUUGAUGGCCAAACCGGGACUGAGACCACGGCCAGAAGUCUUAGGGGGGCCGGAGGAGGGAAUCUUCCGACAAGGGGGAAAGCCUGACGGAGCAACGCCGCGUUGGGGAAGAAGGUCUUCGGAUCGGAAAACUCUGUUAUUAGGGAAGAACAAAUGUGUAAGUAAUUAUGCACGUCUUGACGGUACCUAAAAAGAAAGCCACGGCUAACUACGUGC
rnacentral:rRNA from 1 species